AGUUGCUAAGACUGGAUAGGAAAUAAAAAGGCAUCUUUUUAUUUUUAAAAGACCUUUUUCGGAAGGUAUGCUUAAAGAUGAGCUUGCGCCACAUUAGUUUGUUGGUGGGGUAAUGGCCUACCAAGACGAUGAUGUGUAGCUGGACUGAGAGGUCGAACAGCCACAUUGGGACUGAGACACGGCCCAAACUCCUACGGGAGGCAGCAGUAGGGAAUUUUCGGCAAUGGAGGAAACUCUGACCGAGCAACGCCGCGUGAACGAUGAAGUAUUUCGGUAUGUAAAGUUCUUUUAUUGAAGAAGAAAAAAUAGUGGAAAAACUAUCUUGACGUUAUUCAAUGAAUAAGCCCCGGCUAACUAUGUGCCAGCAGCCGCGGUAAGACAUAGGGGGCGAGCGUUAUCCGGAAUUAUUGGGCGUAAAGGGUGCGUAGGCGGUUAGGAAAGUCUAUAAUUUAAUUUCAGUGCUUAACGCUGUCUUGUUAUAGAAACUACCUUGACUAGAGUUAGAUAGAGGCAAGCGGAAUUCCAUGUGUAGCGGUAAAAUGUGUAAAUAUAUGGAGGAACACCAGAAGCGUAGGCGGCUUGCUGGGUCUUGACUGACGCUGAGGCACGAAAGCGUGGGUAGCAAACAGGAUUAGAUACCCUGGUAGUCCACGCCGUAAACGAUGAGUACUAAGUGUCGGGAUAAAACUCGGUACUGAAGUUAACACAUUAAGUACUCCGCCUGAGUAGUACGUACGCAAGUAUGAAACUUAAAGGAAUUGACGGGACUCCGCACAAGCGGUGGAUCAUGUUGUUUAAUUCGAAGAUACACGAAAAAUCUUACCAGGUCUUGACAUGCUCUGCAAAGCUAUAGAAAUAUAGUGGAGGUUAUCAGGGACACAGGUGGUGCAUGGUUGUCGUCAGUUCGUGUCGUGAGAUGUUAGGUUAAGUCCUAAAACGAGCGCAACCCUUGUCGUUAGUUACCAGCACGUAAUGGUGGGCACUUUAACGAGACUGCCAAUUAAACAUUGGAGGAAGGUGAGGAUUACGUCAAAUCAUCAUGCCCCUUAUGAUCUGGGCUACAAACGUGAUACAAUGGCUGUUACAAAGAGUAGCUGAAGCGCGAGUUUUUAGCCAAUCUCAAAAAAGCAGUCUCAGUUCGGAUUGAAGUCUGUAACUCGACUUCAUGAAGUUGGAAUCGCUAGUAAUCGCGAAUCAGCAUGUCGCGGUGAAUACGUUCUCGGGGUUUGUACACACCACCCGUCAAACCACGAAAGUU
rnacentral:rRNA from 1 species